UACAGAGGGUGCUAGCGUUGUUCGGAAUUACUGGGCGUAAAGCGCACGUAGGCGGCUUUGUAAGUUAGAGGUGAAAGCCCGGGGCUCAACUCCGGGAUUGCCUUUAAGACUGCAUCGCUAGAAUUGUGGAGAGGUAAGUGGAAUUCCGAGUGUAGAGGUGAAAUUCGUAGAUAUUCGGAAGAACACCAGUGGCGAAGGCGACUUACUGGACACAUAUUGACGCUGAGGUGCGAAAGCGUGGGGAGCAAACAGG
rnacentral:rRNA from 1 species